UACGUAGGGUGCGAGCGUUGUCCGGAUUUAUUGGGUUUAAAGGGUGCGUAGGCGGGGUACUAAGUCAGUGUUCAAAAACGGCAGCUCAACUGUCGGCCGGGCAUUGAUACUGGUAUUCUUGAGACCGAUUGGGGGCAGCCGGAAUUCCUGGUGUAGCGGUGAAAUGCGUAGAUAUCAGGAGGAACACCUGCGGUGUAGACGGCUUUCUGGACCAUUGCUGACGCUGAGACACGAAAGCGUGGGUAGCAAACAGG
rnacentral:rRNA from 1 species